GGGCCGAUCGGGAGAUCACUCAGUUGGCAAGCUUGCCUUGCAAGCCGAGUACCUGCAUGACGCGCAGGGGGUCGGGGGUUCAAAUCCCUCACGGCCCACCA
rnacentral:tRNA from 1 species